rnacentral:rRNA from 1 species
GAUGAACGCUAGCGGCAGGCUUAACACAUGCAAGUCGAGGGGUGGAAGUCUUCGGACUUUGAGACCGGCGCACGGGUGCGUAACACGUAUGCAAUCUACCUUGUACAAAGGGAUAGCCCAGAGAAAUUUGGAUUAAUACCUUAUAGUAUAUAGAUGUGGCAUCACAAUUAUAUUCAAGAUUUAUCUGUACAAGAUGAGCAUGCGUACCAUUAGCUAGUUGGUAUGGUAACGGCAUACCAAGGCAAUGAUGGUUAGGGGUCAUGAGAGGGAGAUCCCCCUCACUGGUACUGAGACACGGACCAGACUCCUACGGGAGGCAGCGGUGAGGAAUAUUGGUCAAUGGGCGCAAGCCUGAACCAGCCAUGCCGCGUGCAGGAUGAAGCAUCUAUGGUGUGUAAACUGCUUUUGUACGGGAAGAAACACCUCUUCGUGAAGAGGCUUGACGGUACCGUAAGAAUAAGGAUCGGCUAACUCCGUGCCAGCCGCCGCCGUAA